ACUUUUGUAUUUUUAGUAGAGACGGGGUUUCACCAUGUUGGCCAGGCUGGUCUCGAACUCCUGACUUCAAGUGAUCCGCCCGCCUCGGCCUCCUAAAGUGCUGGAUUACAGGCGUGAGCCACCGCGCCCGGCCUGUGGUAAUCUAUUUCAACAAUAACCUACUGCAAAGAGUUUUGAGACUCAGAAGAAAUCACGAUACGAGAGCAACCAACACCAAAACGUCGAUGCCCUCCCGCACUCAGUGCUCUUCCUCUCCGCGCAGAGUCAUUCCGGGCCUUAGGCGAGGUUGUGAUUUGCCCAAGGUCACGCGAAGGUGGGAUCUGGCUCCCCAUGGCUCUCCCGUCUCCCCCGGCUUGCUCACGUCCCAGCCCGCCCGGCCCGGGCUGCAGCUCAGCUAACCCAGUGGCGCACACCCGCGCGGGGCCCUGUGGUUUACAAAGCGUUUUGCAGUUGCAGGCCUGUCCUGUAACCUGAAAAAUGGGGGCGAUGCUAAGGCCGGCGAGAGAAGUCGCCGCGAAGUUUUCAAGUCUCGGCGGGUAGCCCGGCAAGUAACUUCGUCGUUAUUGUGUGGUCUCCCGGCGAUCUCGAAGAACUCAUUCUCACUGCCGCCGCCACGCACCUGAGGACACCGAGGAAGAGG
rnacentral:lncRNA from 10 species